CAAGUCUGUCACUUCAAAAGGGCAAACAUGCCACCACACCAAGCUGUGAUUUUUCACCUUGUGCAAUGGAGUCGCCCUGAGAGUCUACAACAAUUCAUCUUAUUUCUGUAAGAGAAGAAUGAAAAUAUCUAACCACCAAGAGAUCAUUUGAAGAUACAUGAACAUCCACGUGCCAGGAAGUAGAGUUCAAGAGUUGAGGUCGAGCUCUGCUUACCUUACAACUUCAGCUCCAGGGACAUCUCUCAAGUGCAAAAGCAGGAUGCCAAGGUGGAGUUUGUCCUGUGGAUGCCAGCAGCUUCUCAGUUUGCUGAGAAAUAAAGAGCGAGGUUGAUUUCAGAAGAAAUGAUCUUCACGAUGCUAAGAACACAAGGCGGGAUUUCAAAGGAAGGAACUUAAAGGCCUCAGCUUCAUAUGACUGACCUCAGCUUCUCGUGACCUCACCUGGCUGACCUCAGCUUCUCGUGACCUCACAUGACCAACCUUGCUUCUAAGGAGUGGUGUGAGACCCGUGAAGCCCUUACCAUUCUAAGAAUCUGAUGAGUAAGAAAGGACAAACACAUGACAGGGGAGAACAGGAAAAGAAAUCUUUUCUUCAUCAAAAUGCACCUCUCGAGUCAGGAAAGACUCUUGUUAGAGUCUGGACAGCCUAAUAUCUAUGCACCUUCCAGCAGGUUCUGACUGGGAGCACACUGUAUUUGUGAAGGGAGGCUUUGACUUCAGUGAGCAGAAAGAAUACUGACCUGCAGAGGAUCUGUUCCCCCUACCCCUUACGCCCCCCACCUCUCCCCUCAGCUUUCCUCUAUCCCCCAUCCCUGACACACACAUAAGGUUCCUGGGGAAAUGUUGGGCAUUGGGCUAUGCAAAGACAGUCUGGUCUCCAGUUGAGCUGAGAUGUUGAACCCCAGGACCCAGUGGUGAUAAUUCACCUACAUGGGACAGAAGGAGUUCUCUCAUGUCUCCUGGAACUCUGGCUCCUGUCAAAGUUACCACCCCCUCAGCCCCCACAAAAGAAGCAUGGUUAGUAGUCACAUAGGCAAUGUCCCAACCUUCUGACCUUUAGGCUAGACUCCUCCCCAGUUACCUAGCAACAGAAAAGAUAGCAACAUACUUUAAGAGGGGCUGUUUGGCCCCUCCUUGCUCUCUCACUCCUCUCUCUCUCCUCUCUUGCUCUCUUUGUUUUCUCCUCUCCUGUCCUCUCCUCUCCUCUCCUCUCCUACUCUCUCUAGCCUUUCUUCACUCUCUCUUUUACCUUCUCUCUUUCCCCCUGCCUUUCUAUAAUACAGCUCUAAAACCUUAGUCUCUGCUCAUCAAGGCCCGCUGCGCAGACUCUUGCCUUUGUGGGAACCUCUCUCCCUAAGCCCUCUCUCCCAUAACCCCAGGACACAAUAACCCCGGGGCACAGGGUGUUGCUUCAGGCCCCUUGGUUUCGUGGGCUGCCCCUUGUCCACCCCCACCCCAGUCGAGUUGGGUCAGUGGCUUAAGAUGCCCACCUGGGGCUGAGUGGAAAGCGUCUGACAACCCUCCCACAUCUGCCUGCCCAUAGCAUAGGUAGAACUCUAGCAAGAAAUGAGCUAUCCUCCCUCCCCCCUCUUUUUCCAGCCCCUUUUUAGUUCCCACAGGGAAACAUUUACUUUGGCUGGUGAAGAACCUAAAUCUGAGAUAAUGGCACGAGUGAUGGGCCUCACAGCCAAUCAACUUUGAUUUUGAGGAGUUCAGCUAUGCUCCUUACAAUAAGACCAUCUCAGCUGUCUAGUUGAUGGUUUAUAUCCAUUUUACCUUCGCAUAGAAGAGCAGGGUAUAGCUUGAGGCCCGAACAUCUGCCUAUGUCUGGCAACUCUGCACAUGGCCUAGAAAAAAAAAAAAAGGCUAGAAUAUACAGAGGCCAGAGAAGACUUGGGGACGGGGACUUCAUCUAUGCAGUUAUGGGUAGACUGCCAUCCUUGGGUAAGGUGUAGUGUAUGCCUCCUUUUGUGAUUGUGACCUUGGUAGGAGGAGUAGACAUUGCUGAAGUCCCAUCCCUGGGAAGAAAUGCCUUCUAUUUAUCACAGCUUCACUCCAGCCUGAACGGUUUUAUUUUAGGAGACUUCCUUUAACCUUUCUCAUUACUGUCCUCACCUUUGCUCUUUCUCAAACUGCAUUGUCAACCUGUAUGUCUAUUGCAUACAAGUGUAAAUUGAUUGGAAAUCUCCCCCUCCCAAGACCCCCACACAAUAUAUACUUGACCUAUAUAGAUGAUUCAAUAAAUAUUGGUUGAUUUAAUAAUCAUUAAAAAGCUAA
ensembl:processed_transcript